CUCAGGAUAAAAUUCGAAUAUCACGGCCCAGGCCAUGUGUAAAUUUCCAACAAUCUAUGUCUUCCAUGAAUUAUUUCUUAAUUAUAACCAACUUAUAAUAUGGUUAUCAACCAACCGAAGUAGUGAAUUUGGGAUUUCUUCAGCUAAUCAAUCCAGCAAAAUGAAAUUUAAGAAAAUCAGAACCCAUUAUUCUAUCCUUUGGUAUGUACAUGAAAAAGGACGAUAAAAAUAUUCCGUCUUUAUAGUGGAUAACUAAACUUAGAUGUCUUUCUAUAGUUUUUAAAACCAUUUUGUCUACAUUUAUAUAUGCCCAGUCUUCCAAAAUAUUGUUAUGAGGUAUGAAAUUAUAAAGAAAGCGAGAUUUUAACUCCCUCGGGCAAAAUUGCACUGACUACAAAAUUUGCACUCAUUCUGACAAAAUGCAACGAAUUAAA
rnacentral:lncRNA from 1 species